rnacentral:tRNA from 1 species
GCUGGAGUGGCGGAACUGGUAGACGCACCAUCUUGAGGGGGUGGCGGGAGUUUCUCGUGGGGGUUCAAGUCCCCCCUUCAGCA